GAUAUUCCACCCAAAACCCUCAUUCAUCCGAGUACGGCAUAUUUACAACUCGCAAUCGAGUUCGCCUGAAGGAUGAAUGAGGAAUUAUGGUAUGCCGAAUGGAUAGCUUUUAAACGCGUGUUUCCACGUUACAUGGAAAUAAAAUAGCAAUCCCGGUUGGAUCAAUCGUCUCAUUUAAUUUCCUUAUCGUGUACGUGUAUGCACCGGCAAAACACCAAAAUCCAAAGCGAAAGAAACAUCCAAAGAAUUUUGACAAAAAAACGCUGUGCGCUUGAAUCACCUAACGAUUUUCAGAACGCGAGGCAUACAUCCACUUUCACGUUCUGCUGUUCUCUGCUAUAUUUUCCGUCUACUUGAACAAUACUGUCGUGCGGUUGGUUUUCUAGCGAACAUCGUAAGAAGCUAUUACCUAACUGAAUAUAUCAUGUCUACUUCUGUGUAUGAAGGUGUUGAAAAGGGGCCAGCCAUUGAGGUGUUUGCCCUAAAUCGGGCAUUUUGCAGAUAUUCCACCCAAAACCCUCAUAGUGAUUUAGUGGAAAAUCGUGAACUCGGAAAAAGCCAACCAUUAUUGAAAUGAUGCUGGAU